UGCAAAAUAAAGCAGGGGAAGAGAAGGAAAGGUUCCCAGUUUAUUGCAGGGAGAAGGAAGUUAUUAUACAGAAAUAUCUUUAUGUCUUUGGGCUAUGGUAACUGGAGCCUUGACAGCCCUGGUUCUUUAGGGGCGCCUUUUAAGGUAGUUGGGUUAUCCUAGAUGAAAAAGGGUGAGAAAGCUGAAGGAUAGUGUUAUGGGCUGAAUUGUACACCCCAAAUGUAUGUACUGAAACCGUAAUCCCUAGUACCUCAGAAUGUGGUUGUAUUUGGAGUGAGGUGAUCAAGUUAAAAUGAGGCCGUGAGGUUGGACCCCUAAUCCAGUCUGACUGGUGUCCUUAUAAGAAGAGAUCGGGACACAAAUAAAGACACCAGGAAUGUGUGUUCACAGAGGGAAGACCGUGUGAGGACACAGUGGGAAGACGGCCACCUGCAAGCCAAGGAGAGAGGCCUCAGAAGGAAGCGGCCAUGCAGACACCUUCAUCUUGGAAGUCCAGUCUCCAGACCUGUGAGAAAAACAGCUUCUGUUGUACACUUGGACCACAGCGCUGGUGAGCCUCGCCUUACGUUCAUCAAGCUGGCGGCUCAUGUGGCUGGCCAUCACAUCACCUUUCCCACGUCUGUUCCCUUCCCGGUCUCCCAGACCACGACCCUGUUCUCACCCUUCUCUCUCCUCAAAUCUCCAAAACUCUUUCACUUCCCCCUUCUUAUAGAUGAGCUUGUUUCCCGUUUCACUGAGAACAAAAGCAAACAGCAGAGGACUUCCACAAGCUACCAUGACCACUUCUACACAGCUGUAUGCAUCUGCUUUCUCUCCUGAUAUUAUAGGUGAACAUUUGCUACUAGAGAAAAAAAUUCUAAUCUCUCUUCUUCCCUGCUAUCACUCAUCCUUUCUCAUCUAUUAAGGACAUUGCUCAGCAAUUUUUCCUUCCA
rnacentral:lncRNA from 1 species